UACGUAGGGUGCAAGCGUUAAUCGGAAUUACUGGGCGUAAAGGGCGUGCAGGCGGUCUGUUAAGUCUAGGGUGAAAGCUCCCGGCUCAACUGGGAGAGGUCCUUGGAUACUGGCGGACUUGAGGGAGGCAGAGGAGUAUGGAAUUCCCGGUGUAGUGGUGAUAUGCGUAGAUAUCGGGAGGAACACCAGUGGCGAAGGCGGUACUCUGGGCCUUACCUGACGCUGAGACGCGAAAGCGUGGGGAGCGAACCGG
rnacentral:rRNA from 1 species